UGUGCACAUGUGUGCAUCUCUCAGUGUUUAGUCCCUCGCGGCAGCACUCUUUGGACUGCUUACAGCCGCAACAUUAGUCAACAAAAGUGUUCGCUCCCAGCUUCACCCCCUCUCCGUCAAAGCCCAAAGAACCAGGUGCACAGGUGAAGCAAACAAAUAUAUCACCACUUCCGCUCAAACCGUCAUAAAAACGCCCACCACCUACAAUAUAAGUGCACAACCU